GACGAACCGUGCGAACGUUGCUCGGAAUUACUGGGCGUAAAGGGCGCGUAGGCGGGAUGGCAAGUCGGUCGUGAAAUCCCUCGGCUCAACCGAGGAACGUCGAUCGAUACUGCUGUUCUUGAGGAUUGCAGAGGAGACUGGAAUUCCCGGUGUAGCGGUGAAAUGUGUAGAGAUCGGGAGGAACACCGGUGGCGAAGGCGGGUCUCUGGGCAAUUCCUGACGCUGAGGCGCGAAAGCGUGGGGAGCAAACGGG
rnacentral:rRNA from 1 species